rnacentral:rRNA from 1 species
ACUCCUACGGGAGGCAGCAGUAGGGAAUCUUCCGCAAUGGACGAAAGUCUGACGGAGCAACGCCGCGUGAGUGAUGAAGGUUUUCGGAUCGUAAAGCUCUGUUGUUAGGGAAGAACAAGUACCUGUUGAAUAAGCAGGUACCUUGACGGUACCUAACCAGAAAGCCACGGCUAACUACGUGCCAGCAGCCGCGGUAAUACGUAGGUGGCAAGCGUUGUCCGGAAUUAUUGGUCGUAAAGCGCGCGCAGG